UGCCUCCUUCCUCUCUUGUAGCAUGGCCGAGCAGAGCGGACCGCGGUACAGGAGCUUCAGUUUCCUGUACUUGGCCGGACUGACGGGAAGUGCUCUCUCAGUUCGGCCGGGUACAGGAAACUAAAGCUUUAGUUUCCUGUACUCGGCCAGACUGAUGGGAAGUGCAAAUGAGCUCAACAAAGAACCACAUUUUUGCCUCAUAAUUCCACUUUAUACAUGGAUUCCUUGGAG